UUCAGUCCACCUUCAUCCAACCACCUGCACCUGUCAUCACACCUGGAGAGUAUAAAUCCAGAACCAAGCUGACAGUCAUGGUGCCUGAGGUUUAAUGUGAACAGUUUGCCCUGGUGCUGCAUGUGUCUUUGUGUUAAAGUGUAACUUCUGGUGGCAGCUGUUAACAUAGUGAAGAAGCUGCUUGUGUGUGUAACUUGUAACUUCACUUAGCAGCUGUUUCACUUAGUGUGGAAGUUACUGCCAUAAAAGCCAGUCUCACACUCCAUCCCGUUGGCCCUGCUGCCCGGUUCUGACUCCCUGACAACCUGGUCCAACCUCUGGAUUCCCAGUCAGCUUCUGGAUUCCCAGUCAGCUUCUGGAUUCCCAGUCAGCUUCUGGAUUCCCAGUCAGCUUCUGGAUUCCCAGUCAGCUUCUGGAUUCCCAGUCAGCCUCUGGAUUCCCAGUCAGCCUCUGGAUUCCCAGUCAGCCUCUGGAUUCCCAGUCAGCCUCUGGAUUCCCAGUCAGCCUCUGGAUUCGCUGCCCAGCCUCCCUCGUCUCAGAAUCUCCUGCCUGCCUCUGGAGCAAGAUGCCCCGGCCCUCUCUGCCACUCUCCGCCGCCAUCCCACGCUACGGGGAGCGCCUCCCAGAACUGACACCCUCCUGCCCACCCCGUUAGUGAGAUUUAGUUUAGUUAAUUCCCCGUCUGGUAUUAUUUUAGUUAACGUCAUUAGUUACCAGCCUUUCUAGUAGUUUUGUCCAAUAAAUCUGCUUUUCAUUUA